GGGAGCGUUCUGUAAGCCUGUGAAGGUGUACUGUGAGGUAUGCUGGAGGUAUCAGAAGUGCGAAUGCUGACAUAAGUAACGAUAAAGCGGGUGAAAAGCCCGCUCGCCGGAAGACCAAGGGUUCCUGUCCAACGUUAAUCGGGGCAGGGUGAGUCGACCCCUAAGGCGAGGCCGAAAGGCGUAGUCGAUGGGAAACAGGUUAAUAUUCCUGUACUUGGUGUUACUGCGAAGGGGGGACGGAGAAGGCUAUGUUGGCCGGGCGACGGUUGUCCCGGUUUAAGCGUGUAGGCUGGUUUUCCAG
rnacentral:rRNA from 1 species